AUUGAACGCUGGCGGCAGGCCUAACACAUGCAAGUCGAGCGAGCGGCGGACGGGAGAGUAAUGCCUGGGAAUUGCCAAGUCGAGGGGGAUAAAAGUGGGAAACGACUGCAAAUACCGCAAACGAUGGGAUUGCCCAGGUGGGAUUCGCUAGUUGGGGGGGUAAUGGCUCACCAAGGCGACGAUCCCUAGCUGGUCUGAGGGUAUGAUCAGCCACACUGGAACUGAGACACGGUCCAGACUCCUACGGGAGGCAGCAGUGGGGAAUAUUGCACAAUGGGGGAAACCCUGAUGCAGCCAUGCCGCGUGUGUGAAGAAGGCCUUCGGGUUGUAAAGCACUUUCAGCGAGGAGGCGUUACUCGCAGAAGAAGCACCGGCUAACUCCGUGCCAGCCGCCGCGGUAAUUC
rnacentral:rRNA from 1 species